AGCCUUCUGGGUCCGAGGCUCCCACCUGCUCUAAGCGCUUGACACCCUUUAAAAAAAUGUAUUUAAAGAGGCUGGUUCCUAUCCAUCCGACUGGAGGCAUCUCAGUGCAAGAGCAAAGCUAAGUCCUGCACACGCUCCUCCCCUCCUCCUCCUCCUUCUCCCCCCAGGUUUUCCCGAAUGUAUCUACUCCGGUUACAACUAGACGCGGCCCCUCCCCCACCUGCCUCCCCCCUUCCUUCCCUCGAUCGUGGAGGGAGCGUUCUCUGUGCCUUCCCAAGUCCCCGUGGGGGACCUUCUAUGUUGGAGUGGGGGGAGGGGGGGAGGGUCAUAUAACGAAGGCCAGAAAGAACAAAUUAGAUAAUCAAAAGAAUUAUAGUAAUUGCUUUCACUUUCCCCCGCCCGCUCAGCGGAUUCCCUCCCCCGCCCCUCCCCUGGUUUUUCUGUCUGUCGGGAAUACUCGGUCUUUCCGACCCCCUCCCCUCCCCCAGGUUCCUCCUCUCCUCUCCCCUUGCUCGCGCGUUCCCUCUCUUCCUCCGUUUUCUGGUGUGCUGGAACGUUCAGCGGAAUAUGAUGAAUGAUCACCUGUCACAGCUUGUUUAUUAUAAUGCAGGCAAUCAAUUACACAUCCCCAAUGCUGGCCGGCCCGCAGGAAAUUUAUAUGCUCAGCACAAACCAAUGUGAAAAUGGAAUCUCAUUUGCCAAAUGUCUUUCUCCCCGUACAGCACGAUGAUUACAGUCUGUGUUUGUUUCAACAGUCGUGUACAACUGACAGUGCCAUCAUUUACUGCCUGGCUCAGGUCACGUUACUCUAAGGCUUUAUUUAUGGUGUUACGAAGGGCAGCACAGGAAAAGGACAAGGGUGUCUGUCAGGGAUGGCACUGUGUUAAAAAGUGGGCGUGCAAGGGCCGCAUUCCCGGGCAGCCGCUGCAACCUCAGCCCCUGGGCCCUUACCUCCGCAGCCUCUCCCAGCAUCCAGCUACCCAGACUCCAAGGCCCCAGGCGAGAGCCAGCUCUCGGUACCUGGAGCUCCACAGGUCCCAGAAUCGGGGUGGAUCAGAGUUCAAAUUCUGGUUCUGCUACUGUCUAAUUGCGUGCUGCAGGGACUCAAUCUCUUCAUCUGGGAAAUGGGAGUAAUAACCCUUGGCAGGAAUGUUGCGAUCCUCUGGGAUGUCAGAGGUGUUGAUGAAUGUUAGUUCCCGGGACUUCGGAAAGAGGUCCCGUUGGAAGAGAUGUGAAUUGGAAUUCACACCCUAUAUUAAAAUCUCCUCCAAUCUUCACCUCUGAGACAUGGCUGUCUCAAGACUGUUUUGUUUCCCUUCCUGGUGGAAUUUUGCACUUUUAUGUCCUGUGUAGCAGCAGGUAGUGUGGCUUUGAGAAAAUAAAAUGGCCACCUUGCUCCGCUGUUCUUUCUUUGUAAAAAAAAAAAAAAAAAAAAAAAAACGGCAUAGCAAUCUUGGCCUUUCUAGCUGUGUGACCCCAGGCCGGUCAAUCCCUCCUCCUCUCCAAGCCUCGGAUUCCUCCCCUGAGAAGUAAAGAAAAUAACUCCUAAACUGCCUCCCGAGGCUUGCUGGCAGGAUCCAAGGUGUCCAGAGAUGUU
rnacentral:lncRNA from 1 species